CCAUUUCAUUUGGCCUACCAUUUCCUUCACAUUUUCAAUCCCAACAGAAGACGAGAGGCAGCAGCAAGAAUUGUGAAUUUCCCCCAAAUUGCCAAACCCUUUUCCUCAAUCUCACUUCUUCUUGCUCCAAAUUCACACCACAGACUUCAAGCAUUAGACUUUCGGACCGACUAUUACGAUCGUCGACAGUCAACGAUCGUUGAUCAACGGUCAAUCCGCCCUAGCUGGACUUGGAUCCUGGAUUCGCUGCUAUAUCUAAUCAUAUUGAAUGGGCUUAAUUAUUCUUGGCAAGCACAGACGGCCAUAGGUAUAAUUGUUAUAUGGAUUUGGAUUAUAAUGUUUGAUUAGUUAUAUGGAUAAUGAGUCAACAAUAUGAUCAUUGUACUUAAUAGGUAUAAUAUGGAUUCUGGGGAGGGCAAAUGUAGAAUUAUUUUGUUGAUUUUUUUGCUACAUCAAUCUGUAUACAAUAGACAUAAUGGAUGAUACGGAGCUGGUUGUGUAGAAUCAAGUGGACAUGAUGAAACAGGUUGCUUGUUUAUAUAUUAUGAGACAUACUGUUCCUUGUGCA